AUACACUUGUUUUUCAUUAUUUUGUGAUAAUAUGCAUGCAUAUUCAGUAUAUUUAAAAUUGUGAACGAUUUAAACUAGUUUUCAUUAGUAUGAUUUUCCUUCAUCUCUAACUCAAAGUCUGCCACUGUAAACUAAUGUUUUUCUUCUUUCUGAUCUUCAGACACGAGUCGAAAGGCAUCAGAGAAAUUGCUCGAGAAAUUUUAAAGAAUUUGAGCCAUACAAUCUCUCGAUUUAAAGAAAACCUGAUUGGAGUAGAGUCGCAUGUUCAGAAAGUGACAUCACUGUUGAAUCUUGAGCGAACUCAAGAUGUUCGCAUGAUAGGUAUAUGGGGUAUGGGUGGCAUCGGGAAAACAACUAUCGUCAGGACUGUGUUUGAUCAAAUAUUUAACGAAUUUGAAGGCAGUUGCUAUCUUGACAAUGUAAGAGAAGUUUCCAAAACUUUAGGACUGAAUUCGUUAGAAGAAAAAUUACUCUCUGACACUUUGAUGGAAAAAAGCGCAAAUCUCCACAAUAAUACGUCUAUGCUAUUCGCAAGGUUACGUCACAAAAGGGUGCUUGUUGUUCUUGACGAUGUCAAUGAACUCGAGCAUUUAGACAGACUGGCUGGAGGGCAUGAUUGGUUUGGAGCCGGAAGCAGAAUCAUCAUAACAACAAGAGACAGACAGAUACUUUCGCCACGUCAAAUUGAUGAUGUAUAUGAGGUCAGUUUCUUAGGGACUGAUGUAGCACUGAAGCUGUUUAGCAAAUUUGCCUUUAAGGAAGGUUUUCCUAAAGAUAAAUUUGAAAAGCUUGCACAUAAGGCAGUUAGAUAUGCUCGCGGUCUUCCUUUAGCUCUUAAGGUGUUGGGCAAUUUUUUACAUGGUCGAGAUAUUGAUGAAUGGGAAAAUGCAUUGGAUAGAUUGGAAGAAAUUCCGGAAGAUAAAAUCUUGGAGAAACUUAAAUUGAGUUUUGAUGCACUGAAUGACAUGGAGAAGAAGAUAUUCCUUGAUGUUGCUUGUUUUUUUAAGGGGAAGAAGAAAGAAUAUGUGAUAAGAAAACUUGACGGCUUCGGUCAGCAAGCUAAGGAAGCAGUAAGAGAUUUGAUUCAAAAAUCUCUUAUAACUAUAACCACUGAUGACAGGCUUCAG
rnacentral:lncRNA from 1 species